UGGGGAAUUUUGGACAAUGGGCGCAAGCCUGAUCCAGCCAUGCCGCGUGAGUGAAGAAGGCCUUCGGGUUGUAAAGCCCUUUCAGUCGGGAAGAAACGGGGUGCUCUAACAUAGCGCCUUACUGACGGUACCGACAGAAGAAGCACCGGCUAACUACGUGCCAGCAGCCGCGGUAAGACGUAGGGGGCGAGCGUUGUCCGGAAUUAUUGGGCGUAAAGGGCUCCUAGGCGGUUCAGUAAGUCGACUGUGAAAAUCCAAGGCUCAACCUUGGGACGCCAGUCGAUACUGCUGUGACUCGAGUUCGGUAGAGGAGUGUGGAAUUCCUGGUGUAGCGGUGAAAUGCGCAGAUAUCAGGAGGAACACCAACGGCGAAGGCAGCACUCUGGGCCGAUACUGACGCUGAAGAGCGAAAGCGUGGGGAGCAA
rnacentral:rRNA from 1 species